rnacentral:lncRNA from 1 species
UAAAAAUAAAGGUAUUGUGUUCAUCUACAACUAAAAAUUAAAAAAAAAAAAGAAUACAAAACACCAAACAUAAUGUAAGCAAGUACCCAGAAAAAGAUCAGUUUGGGAUCACCAUUUUGUAAAUUAGAAAUUUGGAAUACAUUUUUCUGUGGAAAAAGUGAUUGGAGUUUGUGGUAGGUUGCAAAAGUUUGAUACAAGAUAGAGCAUUAAAUAUUAUGUUUUUUCAUUUAAAAUUAACAGGUGCCCUGUUGACACACAGACCAGAUACCAUAUUUUAUACCAGGUCCACACCUGUUCUUGUGUCUUUCAUUGUCCAAGUAGCUCCUGGGGAUAGAUUUCAAUGGGAGCAAGCUCUUAUCUGUAUGUGCACAGCAAUUUAAAUUGGGAUUCUUUUUUCUGAGUUUGGGAUAGGGAGUGGAAGGAGGAGGAACUCAAAAAGGAGCAGUUUGUCUACAUCCUCCCCUACCACUCUCCAUCUCCUCACCCUCAGGGAUGGCUAGGGACCUAUUUGUUGGUUGACUUGCUCCUAGGUUGGAGCCAGCCCAUUCUUGGGUGGGAAGGGCCCUGAAGAAAAUCAAAG